UUUUUUUUUUUUUUUCCCUUUAUUUAACUAGGCAAGUCAGUUAAGAACAAAUUCUUAUUUUCAAUGACGGCCUAGGAACAGUGGGUUAACUGCCUGUUCAGGGGCAGAACGACAGAUUUGUACCUUGUCAGCUCGGGGAUUUGAACUUUCAACCUUCCGGUUACUAGUCCAACGCUCUAACCACUAGGCUACGCUACGCUAGCCUAGGUGUUUAGGUGGUGUGUGUGAGCAGCCCCUGGCUCACUUAACCUGGCCAUGGUAUAGUUGGAGUAAGGUGUGUGUGUGUGUGUGUCUGGGUUCUGGCUGGGAGAGAGGUGGAGAAAGAGGGGAGGUGGUGUGUGUGUGUAGGCUUUGUGUUGCUGGCAACAACAGUGCACUGUGGCAAGCCAUUGAGUCACAGCAUUGGUGGCGUGGAUUUCUGUGUUCCAGUGCAGGUGUGUGUGGGUGGGCUCCCUGUGCGUGGUGUUGUGUCUGUGUUCUGUCUGCUCGUGUCGUGUGUGUACCAGUUGUGUCCCUGGUGUGUGGGUGUAUGUCUUCGUGUGUGUCAGUCUCUCUCUGCUCUGUGUGUGUGGCUGCAGGCAAGGAGGGGAGAGAAGUGUGUGUGACUGUGUUGGUUCAGAAUUGUGUGUUUGUGGGCGAAGGGUAACUUCUAGAUUUGCUGGUAUAAAUUGGUGUAGGUUCUACCACACACACACGGACGGACGGACGGACGGACGGACGGACGUUUGCUGUGAGUGUAGAGCUAGAUGCUGCAGUCUGUACUGUGUUGUGCUGUGGUGGCCUUACAAAGGGUUAGUUGGUGUUGUUUGUACUGUGUUGUGCUGUGGUGGCCUUACAAAGGGUUAGUUGGUGUUGUUUGUACUGUGUUGUGCUGUGGUGGCCUUACAAAGGGUUAGUUGGUGUUGUCUGGGGUUGGUAGAUCAGGUGAGAUUCACUUGGAGUCUGUGGACUGUAGUGUUAUUGUUCUAAGAUUGUAGAGUAUUGUGAUGGAUGGAUGGAUGGAUGGAUGGAUGGAUGGAUGGAUGGAUGGAUGGAUGGAUGGAUAGAUAGGUGGUGGGAGUAGAUUAGGAGAAGGAAUCCACAGGUUGUUGUGGUAGAUAAGAUGUAUCAGUCACUGUCUGACAGUGGAUAGGCUUUUUGCUGUAGUGUUGUUAUUAGAGGUUAGGACUAGUAACAGGGAUGUUGUAGUGUUAGUGGAGGUUAGGACUAGUAACAGGGAUGUUGUAGUGUUAGUGGAGGUUAGGACGAGUAACAGGGAUGUUGUGGUGUUAGUGGAGGUUAGGACUAGUAACAGGAAUGUUAUAGUGUUAGUAGAGGUUAGAACUAGUAACAGGGAUGUUAUAGUGUUAGUGGAGGUUAGGACUAGUAACAGGGAUGUUAUAGUGUUAGUAGAGGUUAGGACUAGUAACAGGGAUGUUGUGGUGUUAGUGGAGGUUAGGACUAGUAACAGGGAUGUUAUAGUGUUAGUAGAGGUUAGGACUAGUAACAGGGAUGUUGUAGUGUCAGUGGAGGUUAGGACUAGUAACAGGGAUGUUAUAGUGUUAGUAGAGUUUAGGACUAGUAACAGGGAUGUUGUAGUGUUAGUGGAGGUUAGGACUAGUAACAGGGAUGUUGUAGUGUUAGUGAAGGUUAGGACUAGUAACAGGGAUGUUGUGGUGUUGGUGGAGGUUAGGACUAGUAACGGGGAUGUUAUAGUGUUGGUGGAGGUUAGAACUAGUAACAGGGAUGUUGUAGUGUUAGUGGAGGUUAGGACUAGUAACAGGGAUGUUGUGGUGUUGGUGGAGGUUAGGACUAGUAACAGGGAUGUUAUAGUAUUAGUGGAGGUUAGGACUAGUAACAGGGAUGUUGUGGUGUUGGUGGAGGUUAGGACUAGUAACAGGGAUGUUAUAGUAUUAGUGGAGGUUAGGACUAGUACCAGGGAUGUUGUAGUGUUAGUGGAGGUUAGGACUAGUAACAGGGAUGUUAUAGUGUUGGUGGAUGUUAGGACUAGUAACAGGGAUGUUGUGGUGUUGGUGGAGGUUAGGACUAGUAACAGGGAUGUUGUAGUGUUAGUGGAGGUUAGGACUAGUAACAGGGAUGUUAUAGUGUUGGUGGACAUUAGGACUAGUAACAGGGAUGUUGUGGUGUUAGUGGAGGUUAGCACUAGUAACAGGGAUGUUGUGGUGUUGGUGGAGGUUAGGACUAGUAACAGGGAUGUUGUGGUGUUGGUGGAGGUUGGGACUAGUAACAGGGAUGUUGUAGUGCUAGUGGAGGUUAGGACUAGUAACAGGGAUGUUGUGGUGUUGGUGGAGGUUAGGACUAGUAACAGGGAUGUUGUAGUGUUGGUGGAGGUUAGGACUAGUAACAGGGAUGUUGUAGUGUUGGUGGAGGUUAGGACUAGUAACAGGGAUGUUGUGGUGUUAGUGGAGGUUAGGACUAGUAACAGGGAUGUUGUAGUGUUGGUGGAGGUUAGGACUAGUAACAGGGAUGUUAUAGUAUUAGUGGAGGUUAGGACUAGUAACAGGGAUGGUGUAGUGCUAGUGGAGGUUAGGACUAGUAACAGGGAUGUUGUGGUGUUGGUGGAGGUUAGGACUAGUAACAUGGAUGUUGUAGUGUUAGUGGAGGUUAGGACUAGUAACAGAGAUGUUGUAGUGUUGGUGGAGGUUAGGACUAGUAACAGGGAUGUUGUGGUGUUGGUGGAGGUUAGGACUAGUAACAGGGAUGUUGUAGUGUUAGUGGAGGUUAGGACUAGUAACAGGGAUGUUGUGGUGUUGGUGGAGGUUAGGACUAGUAACAGGGAUGUUGUGGUGUUGGUGGAGGUUAGGACUAGUAACAGGGAUGUUGUGGUGUUGGUGGAGGUUGGGACUAGUAACAGGGAUGUUGUAGUGCUAGUGGAGGUUAGGACUAGUAACAGGGAUGUUGUGGUGUUGGUGGAGGUUAGGACUAGUAACAGGGAUGUUGUAGUGUUGGUGGAGGUUAGGACUAGUAACAGGGAUGUUGUAGUGUUGGUGGAGGUUAGGACUAGUAACAGGGAUGUUAUGGUGUUAGUGGAGGUUAGGACUAGUAACAGGGAUGUUGUAGUGUUGGUGGAGGUUAGGACUAGUAACAGGGAUGUUAUAGUAUUAGUGGAGGUUAGGACUAGUAACAGGGAUGGUGUAGUGCUAGUGGAGGUUAGGACUAGUAACAGGGAUGUUGUGGUGUUGGUGGAGGUUAGGACUAGUAACAUGGAUGUUGUAGUGUUAGUGGAGGUUAGGACUAGUAACAGAGAUGUUGUAGUGUUGGUGGAGGUUAGGACUAGUAACAGGGAUGUUGUGGUGUUGGUGGAGGUUAGGACUAGUAACAGGGAUGUUGUAGUGUUAGUGGAGGUUAGGACUAGUAACAGGGAUGUUGUGGUGUUGGUGGAGGUUAGGACUAGUAACAGGGAUGUUGUGGUGUUAGUGGAGGUUAGGACUAGUAACAGGGAUGUUAUAGUAUUAGUGGAGGUUAGGACUAGUAACAGGGAUGGUGUAGUGCUAGUGGAGGUUAGGACUAGUAACAGGGAUGUUGUGGUGUUGGUGGAGGUUAGGACUAGUAACAUGGAUGUUGUAGUGUUAGUGGAAGUUAGGACUAGUAACAGAGAUGUUGUAGUGUUGGUGGAGGUUAGGACUAGUAACAGGAAUGUUGUGGUGUUAGUGGAGGUUAGGACUAGUAACAGGGAUGUUGUGGUGUUGGUGGAGGUUAGGACUAGUAACAGGGAUGUUGUGGUGUUAGUGGAGGUUAGGACUAGUAACAGGGAUGUUGUAGUGUUGGUGGAGGUUAGGACUAGUAACAGGGAUGUUGUAUUGUUAGUGGAGGUUAGGACUAGUAACAGGGAUGUUGUGGUGUUGGUGGAGGUUAGGACUAGUAACAGGGAUGUUAUAGUAUUAGUGGAGGUUAGGACUAGUAACAGGGAUGUUGUGGUGUUGGUGGAGGUUAGGACUAGUAACAGGGAUGUUGUGGUGUUAGUGGAGGUUAGGACUAGUAACAGGGAUGUUGUGGUGUUAGUGGAGGUUAGGACUAGUAACAGGGAUGUUGUGGUGUUGGUGAAGGUUAGGACUAGUAACAGGGAUGUUGUGGUGUUGGUGGAGGUUAGGACUAGUAACAGGGAUGUUGUAGUGUUGGAGGUUAGAACUAGUAACAGGGAUGUUAUAGUGUUAGUGGAGUUUAGGACUAGUAACAGGGAUGUUAUAGUGUUGGUGGAGGUUAGGACUAGUAACAGGGAUGUUGUGGUGUUAGUGGUUAGGACUAGUAACAGGGAUGGUGUGGUGUUGGUGGAGGUUAGGACUAGUAACAGGGAUGGUUUGGUGUUGGUGGAGGUUAGGACUAGUAACAGGGAUGUUGUGGUGUUAGUGGAGUUUAGGACUAGUAACAGGGAUGUUGUGGUGUUAGUGGAGGUUAGAACUAGUAACAGGGAUGUUAUAGUGUUGGUGGAGGUUAGGACUAGUAACAGGGAUGUUGUAGUGUUAGUGGAGGUUAGGACUAGUAUCAUGGAUGUUAUAGUGUUAGUAGAGGUUAGGACUAGUAACAGGGAUGUUGUAGUGCUAGUGGAGGUUAGGACUAGUAACAGGGAUGUUAUAGUUUUAGUAGAGGUUAGGACUAGUAACAGGGAUGUUGUGGUGUUGGUGGAGGUUAGGACUAGUAACAGGGAUGUUAUAGUGUUGGUGGAGGUUAGGACUAGUAACAGGGAUGUUGUAGUGCUAGUGGAGGUUAGGACUAGUAACAGGGAUGUUGUGGUGUUGGUGGAGGUUAUGACUAGUAACAGGGGUGUUGGUGGAGGUUAGGACUAGUAACAGGGAUGUUGUAGUGUUGGCGGAGGUUAGGACUAGUAACAGGGAUGUUGUGGUGUUGGUGGAGGUUAGGACUAGUAACAGGGAUGUUAUAGUGUUGGUGGAGGUUAGAACUAGUAACAGGGAUGUUAUAGUAUUAGUGGAGGUUAGGACUAGUAACAGGGAUGUUGUAGUGCUAGUGGAGGUAUGGACUAGUAACAGGGAUGUUGUAUUGUUAGUGGAGGUUAGGACUAGUAACAGGGAUGUUGUGGUGUUGGUGGAGGUUAGGACUAGUAACAGGGAUGUUAUAGUAUUAGUGGAGGUUAGGACUAGUAACAGGGAUGUUGUGGUGUUGGUGGAGGUUAGGACUAGUAACAGGGAUGUUGUGGUUUUGGUGGAGGUUAGGACUAGUAACAGGGAUGUUAUAGUAUUAGUGGAGGUUAGGACUAGUAACAGGGAUGUUGUGGUGUUGGUGGAGGUUAGGACUAGUAACAGGGAUGUUGUGGUGUUAGUGGAGGUUAGGACUAGUAACAGGGAUGUUGUAGUGUUGGUGGAGGUUAGGACUAGUAACAGGAAUGUUGUGGUGUUGGUGGAGGUUAGGACUAGUAACAGGGAUGUUGUGGUGUUGGUGGAGGUUAGGACUAGUAACAGGGAUGUUGUGGUGUUAGUGGAGGUUAGGACUAGUAACAGGGAUGUUGUGGUGUUAGUGGAGGUUAGGACUAGUAACAGGGAUGUUGUGGUGUUGGUGAAGGUUAGGACUAGUAACAGGGAUGUUGUGGUGUUGGUGGAGGUUAGGACUAGUAACAGGGAUGUUGUAGUGUUGGAGGUUAGAACUAGUAACAGGGAUGUUAUAGUGUUAGUGGAGUUUAGGACUAGUAACAGGGAUGUUAUAGUGUUGGUGGAGGUUAGGACUAGUAACAGGGAUGUUGUGGUGUUAGUGGUUAGGACUAGUAACAGGGAUGGUGUGGUGUUGGUGGAGGUUAGGACUAGUAACAGGGAUGGUUUGGUGUUGGUGGAGGUUAGGACUAGUAACAGGGAUGUUGUGGUGUUAGUGGAGGUUAGGACUAGUAACAGGGAUGUUGUGGUGUUAGUGGAGGUUAGAACUAGUAACAGGGAUGUUAUAGUGUUGGUGGAGGUUAUGACUAGUAACAGGGAUGUUGUAGUGUUAGUGGAGGUUAGGACUAGUAUCAUGGAUGUUAUAGUGUUAGUAGAGGUUAGGACUAGUAACAGGGAUGUUGUAGUGCUAGUGGAGGUUAGGACUAGUAACAGGGAUGUUGUGGUGUUCGUGGAGGUUAGGACUAUUAACAGGGAUGUUGUGGUGUUAGUGGAGGUUAGGACUAGUAACAGGGAUGUUGUGGUGUUAGUGGAGGUUAGGACUAGUAACAGUGAUGUUAUAGUGUUGGUGGAGGUUAGAACUAGUAACAGGGAUGUUGUAGUGUUAGUGGAGGUUAGGACUAGUAACAGUGAUGUUAUAGUGUUGGUGGAGGUUAGAACUAGUAACAGGGAUGUUGUAGUGUUAGUGGAGGUUAGGACUAGUAACAGGGAUGUUGUGGUGUUGGUGGAGGUUAGGACUAGUAACAGGGAUGUUAUAGUAUUAGUGGAGGUUAGGACUAGUACCAGGGAUGUUGUAGUGUUAGUGGAGGUUAGGACUAGUAACAGGGAUGUUAUAGUGUUGGUGGAUGUUAGGACUAGUAACAGGGAUGUUGUGGUGUUGUUGGAGGUUAGGACUAGUAACAGGAAUGUUGUGGUGUUAGUGGAGGUUAGGACUAGUAACAGGGAUGUUGUGGUGUUAGUGGAGGUUAGGACUAGUAACAGGGAUGUUGUGGUGUUGGUGAAGGUUAGGACUAGUAACAGGGAUGUUGUGGUGUUGGUGGAGGUUAGGACUAGUAACAGGGAUGUUGUAGUGUUGGAGGUUAGAACUAGUAACAGGGAUGUUAUAGUGUUAGUGGAGUUUAGGACUAGUAACAGGGAUGUUAUAGUGUUGGUGGAGGUUAGGAUUAGUAACAGGGAUGUUGUGGUGUUGGUGGAGGUUGGGACUAGUAACAGGGAUGUUGUAGUGUUGGUGGAGGUUAGGACUAGUAACGGGGAUGUUGUGGUGUUAGUGGUUAGGACUAGUAACAGGGAUGGUGUGGUGUUGGUGGAGGUUAGGACUAGUAACAGGGAUGGUUUGGUGUUGGUGGAGUUUAGGACUAGUAACAGGGAUGUUGUGGUGUUAGUGGAGGUUAGGACUAGUAACAGGGAUGUUGUGGUGUUAGUGGAGGUUAGAACUAGUAACAGGGAUGUUAUAGUGUUGGUGGAGGUUAGGACUAGUAACAGGGAUGUUGUAGUGUUAGUGGAGGUUAGGACUAGUAUCAUGGAUGUUAUAGUGUUAGUAGAGGUUAGGACUAGUAACAGGGAUGUUGUAGUGUUAGUGGAGGUUAGGGCUGGUAACAGGGAUGUUAUAGUGUUGGUGGAGGUUAGAACUAGUAACAGGGAUGUUGUAGUGUUAGUGGAGGUUAGGACUAGUAACAGGGAUGUUGUGGUGUUGGUGGAGGUUAGGACUAGUAACAGGGAUGUUAUAGUAUUAGUGGAGGUUAGGACUAGUAACAGGGAUGUUGUGGUGUUGGUGGAGGUUAGGACUAGUAACAGGGAUGUUAUAGUAUUAGUGGAGGUUAGGACUAGUAACAGGGAUGUUGUAGUGUUAGUGGAGGUUAGGACUAGUAACAGGGAUGUUAUAGUGUUGGUGGAUGUUAGGACUAGUAACAGGGAUGUUGUGGUGUUGGUGGAGGUUAGGACUAGUAACAGGGAUGUUGUGGUGUUAGUGGAGGUUAGUACUAGUAACAGGGAUGUUGUAGUGUUGGUGGAGGUUAGGACUAGUAACAGGGAUGUUGUAGUGUUGGUGGAGGUUAUGACUAGUAACAGGGAUGUUGUGGUGUUGGUGGAGGUUAGGACUAGUAACAGGGAUGUUGUAGUGUUAGUGGAGGUUAGGACUAGUAACAGGGAUGUUGUGGUGUUGGUGGAGGUUAGGACUAGUAACAGGGAUGUUGUGGUGUUAGUGGAGGUUAGGACUAGUAACAGGGAUGUUGUAGUGUUGGUGGAGGUUAGGACUAGUAACAGGGAUGAUGUGGAGGUUAGGACUAGUAACAGGGAUGUUGUGGUGUUGGUGGAGGUUAGGACUAGUAACAGGGAUGUUAUAGUAUUAGUGGAGGUUAGGACUAGUAACAGGGAUGGUGUAGUGCUAGUGGAGGUUAGGACUAGUAACAGGGAUGUUGUGGUGUUGGUGGAGGUUAGGACUAGUAACAUGGAUGUUGUAGUGUUAGUGGAGGUUAGGACUAGUAACAGAGAUGUUGUAGUGUUGGAGGAGGUUAGGACUAAUAACAGGAAUGUUGUGGUGUUAGUGGAGGUUAGGACUAGUAAGAGGGAUGUUGUGGUGUUGGUGGAGGUUAGGACUAGUAACAGGGAUGUUGUGGUGUUAGUGGAGGUUAGGACUAGUAACAGGGAUGUUGUAGUGUUGGUGGAGGUUAGGACUAGUAACAGGAAUGUUGUGGUGUUGGUGGAGGUUAGGACUAGUAACAGGGAUGUUGUGGUGUUGGUGGAGGUUAGGACUAGUAACAGGGAUGUUGUAUUGUUAGUGGAGGUUAGGACUAGUAACAGGGAUGUUGUGGUGUUGGUGGAGGUUAGGACUAGUAACAGGGAUGUUAUAGUAUUAGUGGAGGUUAGGACUAGUAACAGGGAUGUUGUGGUGUUGGUGGAGGUUAGGACUAGUAACAGGGAUGUUGUGGUGUUAGUGGAGGUUAGGACUAGUAACAGGGAUGUUGUAGUGUUGGUGGAGGUUAGGACUAGUAACAGGAAUGUUGUGGUGUUGGUGGAGGUUAGGACUAGUAACAGGGAUGUUGUGGUGUUGGUGGAGGUUAGGACUAGUAACAGGGAUGUUGUGGUGUUAGUGGAGGUUAGGACUAGUAACAGGGAUGUUGUGGUGUUAGUGGAGGUUAGGACUAGUAACAGGGAUGUUGUGGUGUUGGUGAAGGUUAGGACUAGUAACAGGGAUGUUGUGGUGUUGGUGGAGGUUAGGACUAGUAACAGGUAUGUUGUAGUGUUGGAGGUUAGAACUAGUAACAGGGAUGUUAUAGUGUUAGUGGAGUUUAGGACUAGUAACAGGGAUGUUAUAGUGUUGGUGGAGGUUAGGACUAGUAACAGGGAUGUUGUGGUGUUAGUGGUUAGGACUAGUAACAGGGAUGGUGUGGUGUUGGUGGAGGUUAGGACUAGUAACAGGGAUGGUUUGGUGUUGGUGGAGGUUAGGACUAGUAACAGGGAUGUUGUGGUGUUAGUGGAGGUUAGGACUAGUAACAGGGAUGUUGUGGUGUUAGUGGAGGUUAGAACUAGUAACAGGGAUGUUAUAGUGUUGGUGGAGGUUAGGACUAGUAUAAGGGAUGUUGUAGUGUUAGUGGAGGUUAGGACUAGUAUCAUGGAUGUUAUAGUGUUAGUAGAGGUUAGGACUAGUAACAGGGAUGUUGUAGUGCUAGUGGAGGUUAGGACUAGUAACAGGGAUGUUAUAUUUUUAGUAGAGGUUAGGACUAGUAACAGGGAUGUUGUGGUGUUGGUGGAGGUUAGGACUAGUAACAGGGAUGUUAUAGUGUUGGUGGAGGUUAGGACUAGUAACAGGGAUGUUGUAGUGUUGGUGGAGGUUAUGACUAGUAACAGGGGUGUUGGUGGAGGUUAGGACUAGUAACAGGGAUGUUGUAGUGUUGGUGGAGGUUAGGACUAGUAACAGGGAUGUUGUGGUGUUGGUGGAGGUUAGGACUAGUAACAGGGAUGUUAUAGUGUUGGUGGAGGUUAGGACUAGUAACAGGGAUGUUGUGGUGUUGGUGGAGGUUAGGACUAGUAACAGGGAUGUUGUGGUGUUGGUGGAGGUUAGAACUAGUAACAGGGAUGUUAUAGUGUUAGUGGAGGUUGGGACUAGUAACAGGGAUGUUGUGUUGUUGGUGGAGGUUAGGACUAGUAACAGGGAUGUUGUAGUGCUAGUGGAGGUUAGGACUAGUAACAGGGAUGUUGUGGUGUUGGUGGAGGUUAGGACUAGUAACAGGGAUGUUGUAUUGUUAGUGGAGGUUAGGACUAGUAACAGGGAUGUUGUGGUGUUGGUGGAGGUUAGGACUAGUAACAGGGAUGUUAUAGUAUUAGUGGAGGUUAGGACUAGUAACAGGGAUGUUGUGGUGUUGGUGGAGGUUAGGACUAGUAACAGGGAUGUUGUGGUGUUGGUGGAGGUUAGGACUAGUAACAGGGAUGUUAUAGUAUUAGUGGAGGUUAGGACUAGUAACAGGGAUGUUGUGGUGUUGGUGGAGGUUAGGACUAGUAACAGGGAUGUUGUGGUGUUAGUGGAGGUUAGGACUAGUAACAGGGAUGUUGUAGUGUUGGUGGAGGUUAGGACUAGUAACAGGAAUGUUGUGGUGUUGGUGGAGGUUAGGACUAGUAACAGGGAUGUUGUGGUGUUGGUGGAGGUUAGGACUAGUAACAGGGAUGUUGUGGUGUUAGUGGAGGUUAGGACUAGUAACAGGGAUGUUGUGGUGUUAGUGGAGGUUAGGACUAGUAACAGGGAUGUUGUGGUGUUGGUGAAGGUUAGGACUAGUAACAGGGAUGUUGUGGUGUUGGUGGAGGUUAGGACUAGUAACAGGGAUGUUGUAGUGUUGGAGGUUAGAACUAGUAACAGGGAUGUUAUAGUGUUAGUGGAGUUUAGGACUAGUAACAGGGAUGUUAUAGUGUUGGUGGAGGUUAGGACUAGUAACAGGGAUGUUGUGGUGUUAGUGGUUAGGACUAGUAACAGGGAUGGUGUGGUGUUGGUGGAGGUUAGGACUAGUAACAGGGAUGGUUUGGUGUUGGUGGAGGUUAGGACUAGUAACAGGGAUGUUGUAGUGUUAGUGGAGGUUAGGACUAGUAACAGGGAUGUUGUGGUGUUAGUGGAGGUUAGAACUAGUAACAGGGAUGUUAUAGUGUUGGUGGAGGUUAGGACUAGUAACAGGGAUGUUGUAGUGUUAGUGGAGGUUAGGACUAGUAUCAUGGAUGUUAUAGUGUUAGUAGAGGUUAGGACUAGUAACAGGGAUGUUGUAGUGCUAGUGGAGGUUAGGACUAGUAACAGGGAUGUUAUAGUUUUAGUAGAGGUUAGGACUAGUAACAGGGAUGUUGUGGUGUUGGUGGAGGUUAGGACUAGUAACAGUGAUGUUAUAGUGUUGGUGGAGGUUAGAACUAGUAACAGGGAUGUUGUAGUGUUAGUGGAGGUUAGGACUAGUAACAGGGAUGUUGUGGUGUUGGUGGAGGUUAGGACUAGUAACAGGGAUAUUAUAGUAUUAGUGGAGGUUAGGACUAGUACCAGGGAUGUUGUAGUGUUAGUGGAGGUUAGGACUAGUAACAGGGAUGUUAUAGUGUUGGUGGAUGUUAGGACUAGUAACAGGGAUGUUGUGGUGUUGUUGGAGGUUAGGACUAGUAACAGGAAUGUUGUGGUGUUAGUGGAGGUUAGGACUAGUAACCGGGAUGUUGUGGUGUUGGUGGAGGUUAGGACUAGUAACAGGGAUGUUGUGGUGUUAGUGGAGGUUAGGACUAGUAACAGGGAUGUUGUAGUGUUGGUGGAGGUUAGGACUAGUAACAGGGAUGUUGUAGUGUUGGUGGAGGUUAGAACUAGUAACAGGGGUGUUGGUGGAGGUUAGGACUAGUAACAGGGAUGUUGUAGUGUUAGUGGAGGUUAGGACUAGUAACAGGGAUGUUGUGGUGUUGGUGGAGGUUAGGACUAGUAACAGGGAUGUUGUGGUGUUGGUGGAGGUUAGAACUAGUAACAGGGAUGUUAUAGUGUUAGUGGAGGUUGGGACUAGUAACAGGGAUGUUGUGGUGUUGGUGGAGGUUAGGACUAGUAACAGGGAUGUUGUAGUGCUAGUGGAGGUUAGGACUAGUAACAGGGAUGUUGUGGUGUUGGUGGAGGUUAGGACUAGUAACAGGGAUGUUGUGGUGUUGGUGGAGGUUAGGACUAGUAACAGGGAUGUUGUGGUGUUGGUGGAGGUUAGGACUAGUAACAGGGAUGUUAUAGUAUUAGUGGAGGUUAGGACUAGUAACAGGGAUGUUGUGGUGUUGGUGGAGGUUAGGACUAGUAACAGGGAUGUUGUGGUGUUGGUGGAGGUUAGGACUAGUAACAGGGAUGUUAUAGUAUUAGUGGAGGUUAGGACUAGUAACAGGGAUGUUGUGGUGUUGGUGGAGGUUAGGACUAGUAACAGGGAUGUUGUGGUGUUAGUGGAGGUUAGGACUAGUAACAGGGAUGUUGUAGUGUUGGUGGAGGUUAGGACUAGUAACAGGAAUGUUGUGGUGUUGGUGGAGGUUAGGACUAGUAACAGGGAUGUUGUGGUGUUGGUGGAGGUUAGGACUAGUAACAGGGAUGUUGUGGUGUUAGUGGAGUUUAGGACUAGUAACAGGGAUGUUAUAGUGUUGGUGGAGGUUAGGACUAGUAACAGGGGUGUUGUGGUGUUAGUGGUUAGGACUAGUAACAGGGAUGGUGUGGUGUUGGUGGAGGUUAGGACUAGUAACAGGGAUGGUUUGGUGUUGGUGGAGGUUAGGACUAGUAACAGGGAUGUUGUGGUGUUAGUGGAGGUUAGGACUAGUAACAGGGAUGUUGUGGUGUUAGUGGAGGUUAGAACUAGUAACAGGGAUGUUAUAGUGUUGGUGGAGGUUAGGACUAGUAACAGGGAUGUUGUAGUGUUAGUCGAGGUUAGGACUAGUAUCAUGGAUGUUAUAGUGUUAGUAGAGGUUAGGACUAGUAACAGGGAUGUUGUAGUGCUAGUGGAGGUUAGGACUAGUAACAGGGAUGUUAUAGUUUUAGUAGAGGUUAGGACUAGUAACAGGGAUGUUGUGGUGUUGGUGGAGGUUAGGACUAGUAACAGUGAUGUUAUAGUGUUGGUGGAGGUUAGAACUAGUAACAGGGAUGUUGUAGUGUUAGUGGAGGUUAGGACUAGUAACAGGGAUGUUGUGGUGUUGGUGGAGGUUAGGACUAGUAACAGGGAUGUUAUAGUAUUAGUGGAGGUUAGGACUAGUAACAGGGAUGUUGUGGUGUUGGUGGAGGUUAGGACUAGUAACAGGGAUGUUAUAGUAUUAGUGGAGGUUAGGACUAGUAACAGGGAUGUUGUAGUGUUAGUGGAGGUUAGGACUAGUAACAGGGAUGUUGUGGUGUUAGUGGAGGUUAGGACUAGUAACAGGGAUGUUGUAGUGUUGGUGGAGGUUAGGACUAGUAACAGGGAUGUUGUAGUGUUGGUGGAGGUUAUGACUAGUAACAGGGAUGUUGUGGUGUUGGUGGAGGUUAGGACUAGUAACAGGGAUGUUGUAGUGUUAGUGGAGGUUAGGACUAGUAACAGGGAUGUUGUGGUGUUGGUGGAGGUUAGGACUAGUAACAGGGAUGUUGUGGUGUUAGUGGAGGUUAGGACUAGUAACAGGGAUGUUGUGGUGUUAGUGGAGGUUAGGACUAGUAACAGGGAUGUUGUGGUGUUGGUGGAGGUUAGGACUAGUAACAGGGAUGUUGUGGUGUUGGUGGAGGUUAGAACUAGUAACAGGGAUGUUAUAGUGUUAGUGGAGGUUAGGACUAGUAACAGGGAUGUUGUGGUGUUGGUGGAGGUUAGGACUAGUAACAGGGAUGUUAUAGUAUUAGUGGAGGUUAGGACUAGUAACAGGGAUGUUGUAGUGCUAGUGGAGGUUAGGACUAGUAACAGGGAUGUUGUGGUGUUGGUGGAGGUUAGGACUAGUAACAGGGAUGUUGUAUUGUUAGUGGAGGUUAGGACUAGUAACAGGGAUGUUGUGGUGUUGGUGGAGUUUAGGACUAGUAACAGGGAUGUUAUAGUAUUAGUGGAGGUUAGGACUAGUAACAGGGAUGUUGUGGUGUUGGUGGAGGUUAGGACUAGUAACAGGGAUGUUGUAGUGUUGGUGGAGGUUAGGACUAGUAACAGGGAUGUUGUGGUGUUGGUGUAGGUUAGGACUAGUAACACGGAUGUUGUGGUGCUGGUGGAGGUUAGGACUAGUAACAGGGAUGUUGUGGUGUUAGUGGAGGUUAGGACUAGUAACAGGGAUGUUGUGGUGUUGGUGAAGGUUAGGACUAGUAACAGGGAUGUUGUGGUGUUGGUGGAGGUUAGGACUAGUAACAGGGAUGUUGUUGUGUUGGUGGAGGUUAGGACUAGUAACGGGGAUGUUGUGGUGUUAGUGGUUAGGACUAGUAACAGGGAUGGUGUGGUGUUGGUGGAGGUUAGGACUAGUAACAGGGAUGGUUUGGUGUCGGUGGAGGUUAGGACUAGUAACAGGGAUGUUGUGGUGUUAGUGGAGGUUAGGACUAGUAACAGGGAUGUUGUGGUGUUAGUGGAGGUUAGAACUAGUAACAGGGAUGUUAUAGUGUUGGUGGAGGUUAGGACUAGUAACAGGGAUGUUGUAGUGUUAGUGGAGGUUAGGACUAGUAUCAUGGAUGUUAUAGUGUUAGUAGAGGUUAGUACUAGUAACAGGGAUGUUGUGGUGUUAGUGGAGGUUAGGACUAGUAACAGGGAUGUUGUGGUGUUAGUGGAGGUUAGGACUAGUAACAGGGAUGUUGUAGUGUUGGUGGAGGUUAGGACUAGGAACAGGGAUGAUGUGGAGGUUAGGACUAGUAACAGGGAUGUUGUGGUGUUAGUGGAGGUUAGGACUAGUAACAGGGAUGUUGUGGUGUUAGUGGAGGUUAGAACUAGUAACAGGGAUGUUAUAGUGUUAGUGGAGGUUAGGACUAGUAACAGGGAUGUUGUGGUGUUAGUGGAGGUUAGGACUAGUAACAGGGAUGUUGUGGUGUUAGUGGAGGUUAGAACUAGUAACAGGGAUGUUAUAGUGUUAGUGGAGGUUAGGACUAGUAACAGGGAUGUUGUGGUGUUGGUGGAGGUUAGGACUAGUAACAGGGAUGUUAUAGUAUUAGUGGAGGUUAGGACUAGUAACAGGGAUGUUGUGGUGUUAGUGGAGGUUAGGACUAGUAACAGGGAUGUUGUGGUGUUAGUGGAGGUUAGAACUAGUAACAGGGAUGUUAUAGUGUUAGUGGAGGUUAGGACUAGUAACAGGGAUGUUGUGGUGUUGGUGGAGGUUAGGACUAGUAACAGGGAUGUUAUAGUAUUAGUGGAGGUUAGGACUAGUAACAUGGAUGUUGUAGUGCUAGUGGAGGUUAGGACUAGUAACAGGGAUGUUGUAUUGUUAGUGGAGGUAAGGACUAGUAACAGGGAUGUUGUGGUGUUGGUGGAGGUUAGGACUAGUAACAGGGAUGUUAUAGUAUUAGUGGAGCUUAGGACUAGUAACAGGGAUGUUAUAGUGUUGGAGGUUAGGACUAGUAACAGUGAUGUUGUGGUGUUGGUGGAGGUUAGGACUAGUAACAGGGAUGUUAUAGUGUUGGUGGAGGUUAUGACUAGUAACAGGGAUGUUUUAGUGUUGGUGGAGGUUAGGACUAGUAACAGGAAUGUUGUGGUGUUGGUGGAGGUUAGGACUAGUAACAGGGAUGUUGUGGUGUUAGUGGAGGUUAGGACUAGUAACGGAUGUUGUAGUGUUGGUGGAGGUUAGGACUAGUAACAGGAAUGUUGUGGUGUUGGUGGAGGUUGGGACUAGUAACAGGUAUGUUAUAGUGUUAGUGGAGGUUAGGACUAGUAACAGGGAUGUUAUAGUGUUAGUGGAGGUUAGGACUAGUAACAGGGAUGUUGUGGUGUUGGUGGAGGUUAGGACUAGUAACAGGGGUGUUGUAGUGUUGGAGGUUAGAACUAGUAACAGGGAUGUUAUAGUGUUAGUGGAGGUUAGGACUAGUAACAGGGAUGUUAUAGUGUUGGUGGAGGUUAGGACUAGUAACAGGGAUGUUGUGGUGUUGGUGGAGGUUGGGACUAGUAACAGGGAUGUUGUAGUGUUGGUGGAGGUUAGGACUAGUAACAGGGAUGUUGUGGUGUUAGUGGAGGUUAGGACUAGUAACGGGGAUGUUGUGGUGUUAGUGGAGGUUAGGACUAGUAACAGGGAUGGUGUGGUGUUGGUGGAGGUUAGGACUAGUAACAGGGAUGUUGUGGUGUUAGUGGAGGUUAGAACUAGUAACAGGGAUGUUAUAGUGUUAGUGGAGGUUAGGACUAGUAACAGGGAUGUUGUGGUGUUAGUGGAGGUUAGAACUAGUAACAGGGAUGUUAUAGUGUUGGUGGAGGUUAGGACUAGUAACAGGGAUGUUGUGGUGUUGGUGGAGGUUAGGACUAGUAACAGGGAUGUUAUAGUGUUGGUGGAGGUUAGGACUAGUAACAGGGAUGUUGUGGUGUUGUUGGAGGUUAGGACUAGUAACAGGGAUGUUGUGGUGUUGGUGGAGGUUAGGACUAGUAACAGGGAUGUUGUAGUGUUGGAGGUUAGAACUAGUAACAGGGAUGUUAUAGUGUUAGUGGAGGUUAGGACUAGUAACAGGGAUGUUGUAGUGUUGGAGGUUAGGACUAGUAACAGGGAUGUUAUAGUGUUAGUGGAGGUUAGGACUAGUAACAGGGAUGUUGUGGUGUUGGUGGAGGUUAGGACUAGUAACAGGGAUGUUGUGGUGUUAGUGGAGGUUAGGACUAGUAACAGGGAUGGUGUGGUGUUGUUGGAGGUUAGGACUAGUAACAGGGAUGUUAUGGUGUUGGUGGAGGUUAGGACUAGUAACAGGGAUGUUGUAGUGUUGGAGGUUAGAACUAGUAACAGGGAUGUUAUGGUGUUAGUGGAGGUUAGGACUAGUAACAGGGAUGUUGUAGUGUUAGUGGAGGUUAGGACUAGUAACAGGGAUGUUAUAGUGUUGGUGGAGGGUAGGACUAGUAACAGGGAUGUUGUGGUGUUGGUGGAGGUUGGGACUAGUAACAGGGAAGUUGUAGUGUUGGUGGAGGUUAGGACUAGUAACAGGGAUGUUGUGGUGUUAGUGGAGGUUAGGACUAGUAACGGGGAUGUUGUGGUGUUAGUGGAGGUUCGGACUAGUAACAGGGAUGUUAUAGUGUUGGUGGAGGUUAGGACUAGUAACAGGGAUGUUGUGGUGUUGGUGGAGGUUAGGACUAGUAACAGGGAUGUUGUGGUGUUAGUGGAGGUUAGGACUAGUAACAGGGAUGGUGUGGUGUUGGUGGAGGUUAGGACUAGUAACAGGGAUGUUGUAGUGGAGGCGCUGCCCUGGAAGUGCAAGGUAGUCAUCCAGUGUUGUAGACACAGCCGUGCAUUUCUCUCUCUGUCUUUCUCUCUCUCUCUCUCGUUCUUUGUCGCUCUCUCUCUCUCACUCUAUCUCUACCCCUUCUCUCUCUCCCUCCAUCUCUCUCUCGGUCUUUCCCUCCAUCUCUCUCUCUCUCUCUCUCUCUAUUUGUGUUAGUGAUUACACCACUCUCUCUCUCUCUCUCUCUCUCUCUCUUGCAUAACCGCCAGCUUUAUUUGCUCCAGCUGAGGACUAAUCUCUCCCGCGAGACAGACGGAAGGAACAAGGGAGAAGAGGAGAGCAGGAAAAGCCAACCUUUCUAAACUGACUGGACGCUCUGCCUCGUUAAUUCAAUCAGUCCACCAAUGAAUGGUCUUUCGAGCAGAACCCUGUUUACAACCACCGUGACCUGUGUGUUUAUGUAGCAGUGUUUUUAAUCUUUAAAACCCCACAAUCUUCUCCAACUGUAGCUGAGUUGACGCGUGGUUUCCCCUCGUGUGUCUGUUUGUGUGGAGAGCAGGCGCAUGGUACUCCCCAUGGUAGCCCAGUCAUACUGGAGGAUAAACAGUGAUUAUCUGGGCUGCCUGGAGAGAGACACAUGCUUAUGUACCACUUUCAGACAGACCACACAUACAUGUGAGGGACACUGUAGCCAAGACAACGCUCUAGCUACAGUCAGAGGAGAAUAACACAUAAACAAAGACACACACAGAAUCACGUUCAGUCAAGUGUGAAUUGUCCUGCCUGUCAAACACGCGUCCACAAUAGAGGUCGACCGAUUAUCGGAAUGGCCGAUUAAUUAAGGCCGGUUUCAAGUUUUCAUAACAAUCGGAAAUCGGUUUUUUUUGGCGCCGAUUUGCCUAUUUUUUUUAUAUAUUUUUUUACAGCUUUAUUUAAUCUUUAUUUAACUAGGCAAGUCAGUUAAGAACACAUUCUUAUUUUCAAUGACGGCUCCGGGGAUCCAAUCUUGCAACCUGACAGUUAACUAGUCCAAUGCUCUAACACCUGAUUACAUUACACUCCACGAGGAGCCUGCCUGUUAUGCGAAUGCAGUAAGCUAAGGGAAGUUGCUAGCUAGCAUUAAACUUAUCUUAUAAAAAACAAUCAAUCAAUGACUGUCAUUGCUCCAAUGUGUACUUAACCAUAAACAUCAAUGCCUUUCUUAAAAUCAAUACACAAGUAUAUAUUUUUAAACCUGCAUAUUUAGCUAAAAGAAAUCCAGGUUAGCAGGUAAUAUUAACCAGGUGAAAUUGUGUCAUUUCUCUUGCGUUCAUUGCACGCAGAGUCAGGGUAUAUGCAACAGUUUGGGCCGCCUGGCUCUUUGCGAACUAAUUUGCCAGAAUUUUACGUAAUUAUGACAUAACAUUGAAGGUUGUGCAAUGUAACAGGAAUAUUUAGACUCAUGGAUGCCACCCGUUAGAUAAAAUACGGAACGGAAUAAACAUUUGUUUUCGAGGUGAUAGUUUCCGGAUUAGUCAAAGGUAUAUAUGGUUUAGAGAGAAAUAGUCGACGCGUUAUAAUUCCUGUAAUAACUUGCGGCUGAACUUGAAAGGGGUUCCUUCGUUAUUUUACCGUUCAUGUCUUCCAUAGAGAAUGUCUUGAUCUACUUCAAAUAAGGUCUGUGUUUCGCGGAGGAGCAGACUGACAGGGGACCAUGCAGACAAGCUCUGCUUUCUGCACUACAACCUAAAACUUCUUAACUGGGAAUAUUGAAGACCCAUGAAAGCUGGUGGUUCGUUUUAACAUAUGUUCUCAUGUUAUUUGAGACUAAAUUGAUUUUAUUUAUGUAUUAUAUUAAGUUAAAAUAAGUGUUCAUUGUUCAUUCAGUAUUGUUGAAAUUGUCAUUAUUACAAAAAUGUGUAUGAUAUAUAUAUACACUGCUCCAAAAAAUAAAGGGAACACUUAAACAACACAAUGUAACUCCAAGUCAAUCACACUUAUGUGAAAUCGAACUGUCCACUUAGGAAGCAACACUGAUUGACAAUAAAUUUCACAUGCUGUUUUGCAAAUGGAAUAGACAAAAGGUGGAAAUUAUAGGCAAUUAGCAAGAUACCCCCCAAUAAAGGAGUGGUUCUGCAGGUGGUGACCACAUACUACUUCUCAGUUCCUAUGCUCCCUGUCUGAUGUUUUGGUCACUUUUGAAUGCUGGCGGUGCUUUCACUCUAGUGGUAGCAUGAGACAGAGUCUACAACCCACACAAGUGGCUCAGGUAGUGACCAUCAUCAGGAGCAUGCCCAGGCGUUGUAGGGAGGUCAUACAGGCACGUGGAGGUCACACACACUACUGAGCCUCAUUUUGACUUGUUUUAAGGACAUUACAUCAAAGUUGGAUCAGCCUGUAGUGUGGUUUUCCACUUUAAUUUUGAGUGUGACUCCAAAUCCAGACCUCCAUGGGUUGAUACAUUUGAUUUCCAUUGAUCAUUUUUGUGUGAUUUUGUUGUCAGCACAUUCAAAAAUGUAAAGAAAAAAGUAUUUAAUAAGAAUAUUUCAUUCAUUCAGAUCUAGGAUGUGUUAUUUUAGUGUUCCCUUUAUUUUUUUGAGCAGUGUAUAUAAAAAUUCAUCGGCCGAAUAAUCGGUAUCGGCUUUUUUUGUCCUCCAAUAAUCGGUAUCGGCGUUUAAAAAUCAUAAUCGGUCGACCUCUAGUCCACACAGAUACAUACACACAAUGCCGCCGGCGGCGUCUGUGAGGUGAGUGUGAGGCGAAUGUUACGUAAUAAAGAUCAAAGCUACUUAAUCAGCUUUGAGAGAGAGAGAUGGGGGAGGAAUGGACAGAGGAGGGACAGCGGGAAAAGAAAGAAUGGGGAGAUGGAGGGAUAGCAGAGAACAGAGUGUAGAGAAAGUGGUGACAGGCGGUGAAACUGCGCGUGUCCUCUUUCCCUGUUUACGAUGGUAUAAGCACACACAUGCAUGCACGCACACACACGCUGUGCUCUGCCCUCGGUGUCCCCCUCACAGCCCACUGUGACAUGCUGUUGCCAAUGCCACGAUACUGUGUGUGUGUUGUCUUUGUCUUUUCUUUUCCUAUAUGCCUAUUCCAUAUCUCUUUCUCUCCCCCUCCCUCUCUUUGUAAAUCCUUUCUUUGCUUACCCUUUACCUCCUCCCUCUCUUCCCUCUCUCGCCCACUACGUCUCUCUUACAGGAAUUGUUAGCAGAUGUGGACAGAGCUUUUUCCUUCAUCUAAAAUUAGCCCCAAUAGAAGAAUGGCAGGGAGGGAGGGAGGGAAGGAUUGAUGGAGAAGUAGAAAGGAAUAGGGAAGGAAUAGGUUGAUGUUCUCGGUGAAGUAAGGGUGUGCUUUUGGGACCUCGCACACCAUGCUGACACAGUCAAGCCGUCGGAGGCACAAACAAAGUUGGAGGAGAGGAACAGCAUCCCGGUGUUUGAGUAGCAUGUGACGGAAACCCAUCCUGCUGUUGUUGAAAAGGCAUGGAUUAAGAUUAGGACUAGUUGUAAGUGAAUAAUGAUGAGAAGGAGUAGUCUGACAGCAGGCAGCAGUAGUCUGACAGCAGGCAGCAGUAGUCUGACAGCAGGCAGCAGUAGUCUGACAGCAGGCAGCAGUAGUCUGACAGCAGGCAGCAGUAGUCUGACAGCAGGCAG